rnacentral:rRNA from 1 species
UGAGGAAUAUUGGGCAAUGCCCGCAAGGGUGACCCAGCAACGCCGCGUGGCGGAUGAAUGUCGUAAGAUUGUAAACUCCUGUUAGAGGGGAAGAAUAGUACCGGUUGGACCGGUAUAUGACUGUACCCUCAGAGAAAGCCCCGGCUAACUACGUGCCAGCAGCCGCGGUAAUACGUAGGGGGCAAGCGUUGUCCGGAUUUACUGGGUGUAAAGGGCGCGCAGGCGGGAUAAAAAGUCAGUGGUGAAAUCCUACAGCUUAACUGUAGAACUGCCUUUGAUACUUUUAUUCUUGAGUUCGGGAGAGAGAGACGGAAUUCCAGGUGUAGUGGUGAAAUACGUAGAUAUCUGGAAGAACACCAGUUGCGAAGGCGGUCUCUUGGUCCGACACUGACGCUGAGGCGCGAAAGCGUGGGGAGCAAACA